CUCAACGGAUAAAAGGUACUCUGGGGAUAACAGGCUGAUACCGCCCAAGAGUUCAUAUCGACGGCGGUGUUUGGCACCUCGAUGUCGGCUCAUCUCAUCCUGGGGCUGUAGCCGGUCCCAAGGGUAUGGCUGUUCGCCAUUUAAAGAGGUACGUGAGCUGGGUUUAAAACGUCGUGAGACAGUUUGGUCCCUAUCUGCCGUGGGCGUUGGAUAUUUGAAGGGGGCUGCUCCUAGUACGAGAGGACCGGAGUGGACGAACCUCUGGUGUACCGGUUGUGACGCCAGUCGCAUCGCCGGGUAGCUAUGUUCGGAAGAGAUAACCGCUGAAAGCAUCUAAGCGGGAAACUCGCCUUAAGAUGAGAUAUCCCUGGGGACUUGAUCCCCUUGAAGGGUCGUUCGAGACCAGGACGUUGAUAGGUCAGGUGUGUAAGCGCAGUAAUGCGUUCAGCUAACUGAUACUAAUUGCCCGUAAGGCUUGAUCCUAUAACA
rnacentral:rRNA from 1 species